rnacentral:rRNA from 1 species
AGAGUUUGAUCCUGGCUCAGGAUGAACGCUGGCGGCGUGCUUAACACAUGCAAGUCGAACGAAGCACUUUAUUUGAUUUUCUUCGGAAAUGAAGAUUUUGUGACUGAGUGGCGGACGGGUGAGUAACGCGUGGGUAACCUGCCUCAUACAGGGGGAUAACAGUUGGAAACGACUGCUAAUACCGCAUAAGCGCACAGCAUCGCAUGAUGCAGUGUGAAAAACUCCGGUGGUAUGAGAUGGACCCGCGUCUGAUUAGCCAGUUGGCGGGGUAACGGCCCACCAAAGCAACGAUCAGUAGCCGACCUGAGAGGGUGACCGGCCACAUUGGGACUGAGACACGGCCCAAACUCCUACGGGAGGCAGCAGUGGGGAAUAUUGCACAAUGGGGGAAACCCUGAUGCAGCGACGCCGCGUGAGCGAUGAAGUAUUUCGGUAUGUAAAGCUCUAUCAGCAGGGAAGAAAAAAUGACGGUACCUGACUAAGAAGCACCGGCUAAAUACGUGCCAGCAGCCGCGGUAAUACGUAUGGUGCAAGCGUUAUCCGGAUUUACUGGGUGUAAAGGGAGCGCAGGCGGUGCGGCAAGUCUGAUGUGAAAGCCCCGGGCUCAACCUGGGAACUGCUUUGGAGACUGCCAUGCUUGAGUGCUGGAGAGGCAAGCGGAAUUCCUAGUGUAGCGGUGAAAUGCGUAGAUAUUAGGAGGAACACCAGUGGCGAAGGCGGCUUGCUGGACAGUAACUGACGUUGAGGCUCGAAAGCGUGGGGAGCAAAACAGGAUUAGAUACCCUGGUAGUCCACGCGGUAAACGAUGCAUACUAGGUUUUGGUGAGCAAAGCUCAUCGGUGCCGUAGCAAACGCAGUAAGUAUGCCACCUGGGGAGUACGUUCGCAAAGAAUGAAACUCAAAGGAAUUGACGGGGACCCGCACAAGCGGUGGAGCAUGUGGUUUAAUUCGAAGCAACGCGAAGAACCUUACCAGGGCUUGACAUGGAGACGACCGGACUAGAGAUAGUCCUUCCCUUCGGGGCGUCUCACACAGGUGGUGCAUGGUUGUCGUCAGCUCGUGUCGUGAGAUGUUGGGUUAAGUCCCGCAACGAGCGCAACCCUUAUUGUUAGUUGCUACGCAAGAGCACUCUAGCGAGACUGCCGUUGACAAAACGGAGGAAGGUGGGGACGACGUCAAAUCAUCAUGCCCCUUAUGUCCUGGGCCACACACGUACUACAAUGGCGGUCAACAGAGGGAAGCAAAGCCGCGAGGCAGAGCAAACCCCUAAAAGCCGUCCCAGUUCGGAUUGCAGGCUGAAACCCGCCUGUAUGAAGUUGGAAUCGCUAGUAAUCGCGGAUCAGCAUGCCGCGGUGAAUACGUUACCGGGCCUUGCACACACCGCCCGUCA